AAACCCAACAAGCCGAACCAAUAACAGAGGAAAAUACUCGUUUGACCUUGUAAAAGCCGUCCACUCCACCACUAUGGAAGCAGCAGACUCUUCUUUCGCUACUUUGAAAAAUCAUUAAUUCAAAACUCUGCAGCUCAUGGUAUCCCCAAAAUAAUUAACCCAAACUCCCAUGCCAGUAACCACUUCAAACAAUCCUCAAAUCUCCAGCUUCCCUUUUCAUCUAACAUCUCCAUAAAUCAAGCCGUUAACGCCUCUUUUUGCUUUUUUUCUGGUUUUUAUUUGAUUCCUUCUCUACCUCUCUUUCUUGACCUGAUCUUUGUCAAAACCGCCUCUUUUUGAAGAUUUGUGUUCUGUGUUUUUGAUAUUAAGUCUUUUAUCUGAGAAGAUUUCUGGGUUUUGUGUUGGUCCGCCGUGUGGUUAAUCCAUGGCGGACUUGGUGAAGCAAAUCUUGACAAAGCCUAUCCAAUUAGCUGACCAAAUAAUCAAAGCUGCUGAUGAAGCCAGUGCUUUCAAACAAGACUGCGCUGAACUCAAAUCCAAGACUGAAAAGCUCGCCGCUUUACUCCGGCAAGCCGCUCGAGCCAGCUCCGACCUGUACGAGCGGCCUACGCGCCGGAUCAUUGACGACACAGAGCAAGUCCUUGAAAAGGCUCUGGCCCUGGUGCAAAAAUGCCGAGCUAACGGCCUCAUGAAACGCGUUUUCAUUAUAAUCCCGACAGCCGCGUUUCGUAAAAUGUCGUCUCAGUUGGAAAAUUCGAUCGGUGAUGUGUCGUGGCUUUUGCGUGUAUCGGCGUCGGCUGAUGAUCGUGACGACGAGUAUUUGGGAUUGCCUCCGAUUGCUGCUAACGAGCCAAUUCUUUGUCUUAUAUGGGAACAAAUUGCGAUUCUCUAUACUGGGUCACUGGAUGAUAGAUCCGAUGCCGCGGCUUCGCUGGUUUCGCUGGCAAGAGACAACGAUCGCUACGGGAAGCUGAUUAUUGAAGAGGGAGGAAUUCCGCCUCUGCUGAAAUUGGUCAAAGAAGGGAAGAUGGAAGGCCAAGAGAACGCCGCAAGAGCGAUUGGUCUACUGGGUCGUGACCGGGAGAGUGUCGAAUACAUGAUCCACGCAGGUGUUUGUAUUGUAUUUGCGAAAAUACUCAAAGAAGGUCCUAUGAAAGUUCAGGCAGUAGUGGCUUGGGCUGUUUCUGAGCUCGCAGCGAAUUAUCCCACAUGCCAAGAUCUUUUUGCGCAGCACAAUAUCAUUCGGUUGCUAGUUGGUCAUCUUGCAUUUGAGACGGUUCAAGAGCAUAGUAAGUAUGCCAUUACUAGUCACAAAGCCACUUCGAUCCAUGCGGUUCUGAUGGCUAGUAAUAGUUCGCCUACUGCUCAUAAUGUGAUAAAUCCAACAGUUGAUGAUGAUCCGUGUCGAAUUCCUCAUCCUAUGGGUAAUCAGACUCCAAAUCAGUUGCACAAUGUGGUCACCAAUACUAUGGCUUUGAACACAGCCUCCAAGCCGCCACAGCAACGAGCUGGUUGUAGUAGUAAUGGAGCCAGUCAAACCAACAUUUCCAAGAUCAAUAGCAAUGGAAACAACAGUAUGAAGCAAAAUCAUCAGCCUCACCAUCAACAGAGUCCUUCGCUUUCUGGGGUUAACAUUAAGGGCAGGGAGCUUGAAGACCCUGCCACUAAGGCUAACAUGAAAGCAAUGGCAGCUAGAGCACUUUGGCAUCUUGCCAAGGGAAAUUCUCCUAUUUGCCGCAUCAUAACUGAAUCAAGAGCACUCUUGUGCUUUGCAGCUCUAUUGGAGAAGGGAGCUGAAGAUGUUCAAUUCAAUUCCGCCAUGGCAUUGAUGGAGAUCACUGCAGUAGCAGAGAAAGAUGCUGAUUUGAGAAGAUCAGCAUUCAAGCCUAAUUCGCCUGCAUGCAAAGCUGUUAUUGAUCAGUUGCUGAAAAUCAUCGAAAAAGCUGAUUCUAACCUCCUUAUACCAUGCAUCAAGGCUAUAGGGAAUCUAGCAAGGACAUUUCGAGCAACAGAAACCAGAAUGAUUGCCCCAUUGGUUAAUCUUCUAGACGAGAGAGAAGAUGAGGUUUCCAGGGAGGCUUCAAUUGCUCUCACUAAGUUUGCUUGCACAGAAAACUAUCUCCACCUUGAUCAUUCCAAGGCAAUCAUACAAGCUGGAGGGGAAAAACACCUAAUCCAGCUUGUCUAUUUCGGUGACCAAGUAGUUCAACUCUCCGCUUUGUAUCUCCUAAGCUGCAUUGCUAUGCACGUUCCAGACAGCGAGGAGCUUGCAAAGGCUAAGGUGCUUACAGUGCUAGAAUGGGCAUCCAAGCAAUCGUUUGUGAGUCAAGAUGAAAUAAUUGAAGCAUUGCUAGAAGACGCCAAAAGCAAAUUGGAGCUUUAUCAGUCCAGAGGUUCAAGGGGAUUCCAUUGAUUUCUAUCAAUAGUAUAUAGUCUUUUAUAAUUUUCUUGUUUAUUUUUUGUAGCAGUGUCAUACUAAUGGAGUGUACAUACAAUUAGUUUUCUUCUUUUAUAUAAUAUGUUUCGAAGCGUUUGAUCCUUUUCAUAGCUGCAGCUUCAUGCUAUGAAUUUUAUGUUCACUGUGGGUACUUGGGAUCCUUACAUUAAAUUAAACUCUUAUAACUGCAGGUCGAUUGAAGUUUGGAAACUUGGGCAGUUCCCUCCCUCCCUCACCCAUUUUCUUGUUUCUCAAUAAUAAUAUUUGAUUUAGUA
rnacentral:misc_RNA from 1 species